GCCAGCAUGGUGUAGCGGUUUGAGCAUUGGACUGGGAGUCCAAAGACCAGGGUUUGAAUCUCAGGUUGGCC